rnacentral:rRNA from 1 species
GAUAAACGCUGGCGGCGUGCAUGAGACAUGCAAGUCGAACGAAGGAUCGGGCUUGCUCGAUCCUUAGUGGCGGACGGCUGAGUAACGCGUAGGUGACCUACCCCGAAGUGGGGAAUAACUGCCCGAAAGGGUGGCUAAUACCGCAUGUGGUCGCACGUUCAUUCGUGCGAGUAAAGCCGCAAGGCGCUUCGGGAGGGGCCUGCGUCCGAUUAGCUCGUUGGUGGGGUCAUGGCUUACCAAGGCGGCGUUCGGUAGGUGGUCUGAGAGGACGAUCACCCAGACUGGGACUGAGACACGGCCCAGACUCCUACGGGAGGCAGCAGUCGGGAAUGUUGCUCAAUGGGGGAAACCCUGAAGCAGCAACGCCGCGUGAGGGAUGAAGGCCUUCGGGUUGUAAACCUCUUUUGUCAGGGACGAUGAUGACGGUACCUGGCGAAUAAGCCACGGCUAACUACGUG